rnacentral:lncRNA from 1 species
ACGCACCUAUCGUUUACUGCGAUCAUCAACAGCAAAUUAACAACCAUAUUAUGCAAUGUCCCUACCAAUUGAGUCAAGCUUACGGAGACAAAAUAUAAUCAUUUUUGUUUUAUUUCGUUUACAUACUAUUUUCUCAUGAAGUUUGAAUCAAACCAAAUCAAUUAUGAAGAACAAGGUUGAUUUGGUUCGGCUCAAUGAGAUUAAUAUUUUUCUAAAUUGAAAUUUAUUCUAUAAAAUCGAAAAAAUAAACUUUCUUUUUCAAACACUUAUUUAUAUUAUUAAAACAAAUACAUAAACUACAAUGAGAAAAAUAAUGUAGUUUAUGUAUUUGUGAGAAAAAAAUGAUUGAAUUUGAUCCUAAAUUUUAGAUUAAUCAAAUUAAAUUUAAUCCAAUUCUAAUUUAAAUUGCAAUACAAUCAAAUUAUUAAUUUAUAUCAAUAUUAAAAAUUGAAAUAAUUCUAAUGUAUUAUUAAAAUAUACUAAAUAAAAAGGACAAUAAAUAAAAUUGACAUAUAAAAAUACAAUAAUAAUUUUAAAAUAAUACUAAUUAUAAUUUAGUGUGAAAUAAAAAAUAAAUAAUCGUAAAAAUGAUUAUUUGAAUCAGACUUUAGGUAAUAUUAAUUAAAAGUUUAAAUGAAUUAUAUAAUUUAAUGAAUGAAUUUUUAAAAAAAAAAUCAUAAAAUGAAUGAAUGUAAUUUUAUAUUGAGUUUUCUAACCUAUGAAACACUGCAUUGGAUAAUAUGCAAUGUAUCACUUUCUCUUUUUUUUUUUUUUUUUUUUGCUAAACCAAAAGCUUGGACAUGCAUCAAGGGGAAGCAAUGAGAAUGUAUUUUUUUUUUUUUUUUUUGCUAAACCAAAAGCUUGGACAUGCAUCAAGGGGAAGCAAUGAGAAUGUAUCACUAUUUUCAACGUAAACUAUCAUAUUGAUUAUCUUUUUCUUAAAAAAUGAUUAUUUUCUCUAUCCUGAAAUUUGUUCAUGCUGUUAAAAAUUUUGGAGUUAAAUUUGAUCUUGUUAUCUAAAUUCUACAAUGAUAUUCUUGAUCUCAUGUAAGUAGUCUUUGUUUUUGUUGUAUGAAGUUAUAAAAAUAAAAUAAAAUAAAUAGAAGGAUUAAUAGGAAAGUGAAAAUUAUUAUUUUUCAAGAAAUGAGUAAUCAAUAUAAUAAUUUAUGUUGAAGAUAGCGAUACAUUUAUUGUACCUUAUCCUAGAGUUAGAAAAACCCUUUUACAUUUAAUAAAAUUCAAAUAUGCUCGCUAAAGGUUGUGGUUUGAAUUCGUCAAAGUGUCCAAUGCCUCAAGACUAAGGCAAGGACAAUCUCAAUUAGUCAAGGACAAUCUCAUUGAGCCCAACUUGGUCUAUUAAAUAAAUUCACCCAUCCGGUUGAUGAAAGAAAGUUUUACGUGAUCAUAAGAUUUGUUGCAUUUAUACACAUGCAAUAAAAAAUAGAAGAAAAAAGAAAUAAAUAAUAUUUUUUUAUGUCUAUGUAAUUUUUAUUUAAAGUUGCGACUAUUCAAUUAUUUUUCGUUUCGAGUUAACCAUGUCAUUGAAAGCAGGAUUCUUAAUUUGAGCCUAAGAAAUAAUUGUUAUUAAGGUUUAGUUAUAAUAUGUUUGAUUGUAAAAUUGUUUUAGAGAUAGACAAACUCGGGGUAAGAGACAAAACUAAAUUGUUCAAUAUUAUGAAAGUUUGCCGUGUUUUGUUCUGCCUUAUGUUGUAAUGUUUUGUCUAGUACAUCAUUUUAACGAAUCAAAUGCACCCUAAACCUUCUACUUACUGUAGUCACACUAAUCAGUAGGUAAUUUGAAACUUGAAGCUUCAUUGUGUAAAAUAAAGUCAAGGGGACAAAAAGUUGUCAAAUUUGAAAAUAAGUACGUAAAAUCAAUUAAUCCUAUCAUAGCUGAUCUAUAUAAAUAAACAUCUUCCCUCAUUCAUUUCAACACCAAAGCAACUUUGUACUAUUAAAAAAAUGGGAAGUACUACAAAAUUAUCUUGCUUGAUACUAUGUUUACUAGCUUUCUUUCUUGGAUCCAAAGCUCAGCAAUGUGGUAGACAAGCUAAUGGAGCUGUUUGUGCGAAUAGGCUAUGUUGCAGCCAAUUUGGUUAUUGUGGCAACACUGCUGAUUACUGUGGAGCUGGUUGUCAGAGCCAGUGUACUUCAAACCCGACACCGACACCAACAACACCAACACCUAGUGGUGGUGAUGUUGGAAGUCUUAUUUCUUCUUCGAUGUUUGAUGAAAUGCUUAAAUAUCGAAAUGAUCCACGGUGUGCUGCACGUGGAUUUUAUUCCUACGAUAGUUUCAUAACUGCUGCUAGAUCUUUUAACGGAUUUGGUACUACUGGUGAUGAAAACACCCGUAAGCGCGAAGUUGCUGCUUUCUUAGGUCAAACUUCUCAUGAAACUACAGGUAUAUUUCUUAUAUUCUAACUUUUUGUUUAGAUAAUUGGAUAUGUUAAUUAACUUUAUAGAGAGUAUGUUUGUUUUGAAUUUUGGAUAUUUAUACAUCAUAUUCAUACAUUUAAAUUUUUGCAAGAAGUCACAAUCAAUAGUGUUUGAGGUCAAAUGUUUUUGAGAAUGUAGGAGGGUGGCCAACUGCACCUGACGGUCCAUACGCGUGGGGAUAUUGCUUUGUGAAUGAACGCAAUCCCCCGAGUGACUAUUGUUCACCCGGAACUUGGCCAUGUGCUCCUGGUAAAAGAUACUACGGCAGAGGACCAAUUCAACUCACUCAGUAAGCUUCUUUCAUCUUCAUGCCUCUAGCAUUUCAAACCAUACCCCCAUCUAAAUAUCAAACCAUGUUAUUUUAUUUUUCUUAACAUAAUGAAUUAACAUUGAUUUCUAGUUAUAGAUAUGAGUGUUUAGUGAACUAAUGGGAUGUUGAUCCUUUAUCACAGCAACUACAAUUAUGGUCCAGCCGGUAGAGCCAUUAAUCAAGAUUUGAUAAACAAUCCGGAUUUAGUGUCCUCAAACCCAUCUGUGUCAUUCAGGACAGCCCUAUGGUUUUGGAUGACCCCACAGGGAAACAAACCAUCAAGCCAUGAUGUGAUUACUGGAAGAUGGACGCCAUCUGAUGCUGACAGGUCAGCAAGGAGGGUACCCGGAUAUGGCGUGAUCACCAACAUAAUCAACGGCGGGCUUGAAUGUGGACGCGGUCAGGAUCCUCGGGUCGAAGACCGGAUCGGGUUUUAUAAAAGAUAUUGUCAAUUGUUGAGAACGACUACCGGUGAUAACUUGGAUUGCUACAAUCAAAGGCCAUUUGCUUAAGCCAAUUACCUAUGUUAAUGUUAUAAUAGAAAGUAAUAAAGGGAUGUUGUUCAAUAAAAAAACGUAAUAAAGGAAUCACAGUGAAUGAUCCUACAUGUAACCGAAAUCUUCUUGCUCAAUAAAACAACUUCUAUAUAGUUUUAUGACUAAGGUAUUGUUGAUGAAUACUUAUAAUUUUGUAGCCGUUGAAGGUGACAAAAACACAAGAAUGGGGGUUGAAUUGUGUUGGUUUUUUUUUUUUUUUUUCCUAAGCUGAAAACACUGAUCAGAAGCAGAUAGAGUUCUACUUCUGAAGUGAUGUUCAGAGACUAAAACCAAAAUGAGGCAUAUUUGUAGGGAUCAAAACUAUAUUUUAGCCUUUUUUUUAUAUAUAAAAUAUCGUUUGUAAUUUACACGUUAAAUUUCUAUAAAAUAUCGUUAAUAAUCUACACACUUUAGCGUAAUAAAAAAACGGAAAGAUUAACACAUGAAUGCUCAUUUUCGCGAGUAUCUUAUAAUUAUUGUACGUAAAAAAAUUCCCACAUGCUACAUCCGUAUAAAAUCCGACAUAUGUAAAAAAAAUAGGCUUAAAUGCUCUUUUGGUCCCUUAACUAUUUAAUUGGUAUCGCUUUGGUCCCUUAACUAAAAAAAAGAUUGUUUGAGGAUUUUAAGUUUUUUUUUUAGGCUCGUUUUGGUCCCUUCUGUUAGGUUUCCGUUAGUUUUAAUAAAAAACGUUAAGUGUGGACACGUGUCACCUUGUCAUUUGGCUCUAAGUUUUUUUUUUUACAAAAAAAUAAAAAAUUUAAAUAUAUAUUUUAUUUUUUUGUAAAAAAUUUCAGAACCAAUGACAAGGUGACACAUGUUAACUCUGGGACACGUGUUACUUUGUCAUUGGCUUUGGGAUUUUUUAAAAAAAAAAAUAAUUUUUUUUUGUAAAAAAAAAAACUCAGAGCCAAUGACAAGGUGACACGUAUCUAGGAGUUAACUUUUUUUUAAAACCCUAACGGAAACCUAAGAGAAGGGACCAAAACGAGACUAAAAAAAAACUUAAAAUCCUCAAACAAUCUUUUUUUUAGUUAAGGGAUCAAAGCGAUAUCAAUUAAAUAGUUAAGGGACCAAAAAAGCAUUUAAGCCAAAAAAAUAAGUUAUUUUCCCAUAAGAUCCUUUUUUAAAGUAAUUAUAUUAGCUAGACAUGUGUCGAGGACUGAGUGUAAGUAUAUUUUUUAAGCAAAAUUUGAACAUUAAUUCGCAUCCUUCCUUUAGACCAAACUCGUAAGUGUCCUCGUAAGCUUAACUCAGUUGAUAGGGAUAAUAUAUAAUACAUGCAAGGUUGGAUUCGAACCUCGGUCACCACAAAAAAAAAGUCCAAACUUGUAAGUUGUAAAAACGUUAUUUUACACCACUGCAUUCAACAUAAAAAGAGUAUAAAAUCUCUAACGCAGUACUAUAUGUUUACUUUGAUGACAUAAUUAAGUUUUGAUUAGUUCAAAUUAACAUGAUCACAUGCAAGCACGGGACACUCAGAUUAUAAGAAGAAAUUUUAAGGACUUCUACUCGCAUCAGAAGAGACUUUCUUAAUUAGUCACACCACUUCCACAUGGACAUUGUGUUUAUACUUUAUUAUAGAAUGUAAGAGAAUGUGACUACCGUGAAUUUUGAAUCUAAUCACUAGUCAUUGCCCCCCUCAGACCUAUUGCCACCCUCUCUUUAGCAAGACAUGCACACAUGACAUGAGAAUUAGUGUGUCAUUCUUAUUCCACUUUAAUCAUUCUUAGUAUUUAAUAAUUCCAUGUCUUGAACUUUAAUACUUCUUUUUUCUCUCUGUAUUUUCGAAAUGCGAAUCCUUAUAUUUUAGGCUAAAUAUCAUUUGCGGUUUUUUAAGUUAGAUGAUUAUAAUAAGUUAGUUUUUUAAGUUUUUUUUGUUAUGGAUUGGUCCUUUAAGUCAUAAAAUAUUUGCACUAUUAUCUUAAUUUAACCAAACUCCGUCAAAAAGUGUUUGUGUGGGUGUUUAAUGUUAAGUUGAUUUGUCCAAAUUCACCGCUCUCAAAACUAGGGCACAUAGUUGUGUUAUUCGGUCUUCAUUCAAAACAAAAUUGAUUGAUUACUUGAUCUAUAAUAUUGUUUUUAAAAUAAUUAUCUGUAAAAUUAGGCUUGAAUUCAAAAAUAAGAAGAGUAAAAUGUGUACAAGUAAUCAUGUUUGAUGUCAUAAGCACUUUAGAAUCUACCAUCUUAAUGUUAAAUGGUCUAAAUGUUAAAUGGUCUAUAAACACUUUUUAAUGAAGUUGGCUGAAAAGAUAGAUGAGAGUGCAAAUAUUUUAUGACUUAAAAAAAUCAAUUUGUAACAAAAAAUAACAUAAAUGACCAAUUGAUAAAAAAAAAUAAAAAAUAUUAAAGAACUAAUAUGUUAUAAACAUAUAAUUCAAAGAACCGCAUGAGGUAUUUGACCUAUAUUUUAUACAUGGACUUUAUAGCUGUUAUAGAAAAAUAAAAGUUGGUAAUGACUAACAUAAAUUUAUAUCCAUUGGCCGAGCAAGAUUUUUUUUUUCUUCGAGUGGACCACUAAAAUAAACUAAAAUAUACAAACACAAAAUUUAAGUUGUAAUAAGCAUUUUUAUAAAGUAAAUUGUUAUUUGAUGCUUUGUUUAAUCUUUAAGCUUAUUGUUCACCAAUAUAUAAUUUAUUAAUAUAUUAUUCUGCAAGAUGAGUAUGAAAAAAUGAUUGUUGAGAGGGAUUCAUAGAGGCACCAGGGGAUGAUGUUUUUAGUCAUCAAAGUGACAACAUUAUCUUCGUAGAUGUUUUUGGAGGAGUGGACAAUAAGGGACAUGUAUAUGGUUUGGGCUCGAAAACAUGAAAAUACAAGUCGUCUAGAUCUUCCACAUCUAACGACAUCUCUCAAUCUAAAUAUGAACAAAUGAGUGCUGAAAAUGCAUCUCUGAAAUAACCAUUGAAGACUCGUGAGGAAUUGAUAUGUCCAUUGCAGGAAGAUUCACGUUGACAUAGGUAGAAAUUGACUAAAUUUAUGGAAAGAUUUUCUCAAGAUCAUCUACCUCCACCUCCGUUGACUUGAUAUAUAUAGUAUAUGGUAUGUUGAGAGUUUGAUUGAAAACUUAGUCUCAAGAACAAUGUGUUAGUACAAGUACCAUUAAAAAAAUGUUGAAAAAUGUUUCUUAUGAAACUUAUUUUCAGAGUUUUCUUGUGACUUUUAUAUAUAUAUUGAGUGAGAGUGAUAAACAAUGUGCUAGAAGAAUUGUUGUAAACUUAUUUUGAGAGUUUCCUUAUAACUUUAUGUAUUUUGGAGAUGAAUGUAUGUGAUACUUAUUAUAAAGCGUGUUCUUAUUGUGUGUUUAUAAUUUUCAUUUUGCUUAGUAUAGUAAAUGUAUUUGCAAUAUUAUUUUUUUAAAAUUUGGUAUCCAGUCCAAGAGCCGAUUAAUUUGAGGGGUGCAAUCUCACCCUCCACUUAGUUCACCGAAAUUGGUGCUAGGGGGAAUCAAAUCUGAUGUCUUGAGAGAAAUACACUCUAAGGUCUCAAAUCAACCGCUAGGCUAAAUCCCAAAUGGGUUUUCAUUUGCGAUAUUAAUAUAAUGAAUGGAAUCGAACUGAAACCAAACAGUGUAUCAUAAAUAUAUUAACUUAUAAUUUCCUCACUAAUUAAUGACGAAAACUGUUGGAACAUGUGUGGAAAUUGAGUUAAAAAGACUAAACACAAAUUCCCAUGUUGGGUAGAACUAGUGUUGUGUGAAUUGAAAAAAGUGGAAGUCCCACAUCGGAUGGAACACACACAUUAGUAGUGUUUAUAUAGUGGGGGUGUACCUCUAAGAGGUACAUAGUUAUGUGAACGAAGUAAGCACUAUAGAAAAAAUAUAUAUUGAUAUAUAUUUUAUUAUUUGGAAAUGAUAAAUUAAAUAAUUAAUUUAAUAAUUAUUAGAAAGUGCCUUCUUAGUCCCCAAGUUUUACUAAAAUAAUUUGGAACGCAAUCUAGAAUAUUUAGGAACACAAUCUGAAAUAUUUGGGAAGGCAAUCUAAUAUAUUUUAGUACAUGAUCUAAAAUAUAUUUUGAUACUCAGUAAUAUAUUUAUGUACUGAAUAAUAUAUUUUUGUACUCGAUAUGAUAUAUUUUGAGACUCAAUUUGAGAUAUUUUUGUACUAGAUCUAAUAUGAGAAUUACUUGCUCCCAAAGUUUCUCACUUAUUAGUUGUGAACUUUCUCUAUAAAUAGAGAGCUCACACAGUGCAUUCCACACACCGAAAUUCACAGUUGAUGCUUUCUGUGUUUUUCCUCUCUUCUCCCUCCUUUGACUUGUGUUGACAAGUUCUUCUCCUUUUUCUACUCCUUUCUGUCCCUUCGGAAUUAAGAGUGUUCUUAAGACCAUAGUCCAUUUUCGGUUUAAUGUCCCUUCGGAAUUAAGAAUGGUCUUAAGAGCAUAGUCCCUUCGAUAAUUCAUUAUCUUCGGAAUAAAUAAUGUUUUAAGAUCAUAGUCCCUUUUCGGUAUAAUAAGAAUGAUCUUAAGCAUAUAUAUUCUUCUUCAACUCAUGGAGAAGUUAGAUGUUAAAAUGGUCGUAGCACCAUAUUUGAGUGGUUGAAAUGCCUAUUGAUAUUUGGAGAAGUUAAAAAAUUAGAAUGGUGGUAACACCAUAUUUGAGUGGUCUCAACACCAUAAUUGAGUGGUUACAAUACCAUAUUGGUUUCAGUAUUAAAAGAUUGGUCUUAGUACCAUAUUGAAGGUGUAAUUCUCGAACGGUUUUCUACAGUGCAGUAGUUAACCGCACAGUUGCAGCUGGACUUGUUUUAUCCUGGAGGCGGCGUGGUUGAUAGUCUGUCUUGCACAAUUUUGGGCAGUGCCACGAAACGUCUUAAAGAGAGCGACCUGGUCGUGACUCAACCUAGUAACAACUUCGAUAGAUAAUAGAAUUUGGAAAUCCAAAUACAACACUUUGGAAAUCCAAAAACAACAAAAACAAAAACCUCAUUAAUCCACACUAGUUAGUGACAAAAAUCUAUUUCGUCUCAUAUUUGUGACAGAAGAUACUCUUGUAAUUCGAGAGAAAACACUAUUCUAUCAUUAAUUAGUGACAAAUCAUGUCUGUAAACAUUAAAUUUAUCACUAAAUCGAUACAUAUUAUCAAGUGUCACUAAAUUUAUCACUAAAACGGUGUGUGACGGAAUUUAAGUGGUUUAGAGCCGAAUUUCUACCCUCUCUAAAUCUGAUUUUUCUAGUAGUGACUUCAUGCAUGGCCAACACGACUGGAGAAACCGCAAAUCUUAUUGAUGAUUUACAAUAAACUUUAAUUUGCGUACACCAUAUCAAUUGCAGAAUUUUAGACAAGAACUUGAGUCACACUUAGUGUGAGUUGAAAGUCUAAUUACAUGUCCCAACCACAAUUGAUCUAAUCACAUCAUUUUCGUGCAAUACCUUUCUUGGUACCUUUGAAAUGAAAGUUGAAAAUAAAAACUACUAUAAACAUUUGAGGAUACCUUUGAAAAUUUUAACUCUUAAUGCAAAAUUUUGAACCCUAGUUGAUUUUUUUUAAAGGAUGAACCCUUGUUGAUGACAAGUCAAAACAAAAUAUAUGGACCCAUUUUAGCUCUUUAAAUAAAAUAAUUCAAGGCCGGCUGAAAAUGAGUCAUUAAUGGCAUAUGGGAAUCGGAAUAAUUCAUGUUAAGAGCAUUAAGUUCAUUGUCUUCUUGUUCUUAUUUGCUUGAACUGAUAAUGAUUGAUGAUUAAACUUCUGCAUGUUUUGUCUUCCAUAGUUCCAUGUUUGAUUAAUGAUAGUGGCCAAGCCUCGAAUAAUGUCUUUUUUUUUUUUUUUUUUUUUUUUUUUGUCAAGUAGCCUAGUGGCUAGAGCUCACACAAUUUAAUUGUGGAGAAGUGGAGUGUCCGGAGUUCGAACCCCGGCUCCUGCAUAUAAUAUGCAAUAUCCCUACCAACUGAGUUAAGCUCACGGAGAUUUAAAUUAAGUAAGGGUUUAUCUAACGUAUGCAAUAUUGUACGUCAACUGCAAUUAGUAAUUUUUCAUUGAAAAUCAGCAAUUAUUAAAAGCUAAGAAAAAUCUAAUAUUAAUUUUUCAAAGGUACAUCUUAAUAUUUUUUAAAGCAUCUAUAACCAGCAAUUAUUUUUCAAAGCAAUUAUUAAUUAAAAGCUAAGAAAAAUCUAAUAUUAAUUAGUAAAUUACUGGUUGUAGUUGGCUUAACUUGUGCCCUAAGGGUAUAUUUUAAGGAUUGCAUUAAUAGAAAUUAUGUCUUGGAAAUUUUGUUAAUUUAUUGUUCAAAAAAUCUAAUAUUAAUUUUUUUUAAUUAAUGCUUAACAUGUGCCCUAAGAGCACAAGUUAACAUGAUCCUUAAUAUAAAAAACACAAGUUUCAAGUUAAAGUUACUACUUUAAACUUCUUAACACGUGCAAAUUUAUCCAUGAUAGAAAAACCCAAGAUUUUUUAUUUCUUCUAUAAAUUAAUUUUAAACUUCUUAACACGUGCAACACAUUCUUUUGUUCAUUAGAAUAAACCAAAAAAGAAGUACAAGAUAGAAAAUGGGGACUAGGCUAAAACCUUUUCAAAAGGUGUUAAAUCUAAAAUUGGCCAUUCCCAACCUAUUCCUAAUAUACUCCCCCUAGUAAGAUCAGGGAUAUCAUCAGACCAAAACAGGAUAGAAGAAGCUAAAGAAAGACCAAUGUUAGCAAUACUAUCAGCACAUGUGUUCCCUUCCCUGUAAAUAUGAGAGGCAAAAAAUCUCAUUGUUCUAAUUCUAGCAAGGCAGUUUUGCCACCUGUUACUAAGGCACCAAGGUAUCCCUGAGUUGGAUCUAAAGGCUAAAAUCACCAACUUGGAGUCUGAUUCCAACCAAAGAUUAGUGAAUCCUUUUGAUGAAGCAAUCUCAAUGGCAGUCAUGGCAGCUACUAGUUCAGCAUGAAGAUAUACACAUAUUUUCUAUUUAUAUUUUAUGGGUCUUGUUAACAAGUGUCAUUAAGGUACUAGUUAAGGUAACCAAAAUUAAUAGCUUUACAUUAGAAACAACAAUUUGUAAAUUUUUUCAAGUUGAUUUGACCACUUUUCAUCAUUUUCCAACACAUAAUUUCUAUUUUUGUUCUUUUAUCGCAAGAGCACUCUUUAAACUUUCCCAUAUUUUAUAGGGUUUGUUAACGGACACUGGUUAAGGAAGUCAAAAGAAGAAAUUUUAACUCAAAAAUGACAUUUUUUAAGCUUUUAAUGCAUUGACAACACUACUUUCGAUGCAAAUACUACCAUAUUUGAUGUCUUAACCAGUGUCCCGGGACAUCGAUUAACAUUUCCCUAUUUAUAUAUAGUUAAAUAAAUAAAUUCAUUUCACAUGGCAUCAUUCCCUAGGGUCAAGCUUUCUAUAACUUUAGUUUAAUUCAAUCCUCAAAACUGCUUAGCUUAAAAAAAUUCAGUCGACCUUUCUUGACCUCUAUUGAAUAAUAAAUACUUUUUUUUUGGUCAAGUAAUUGAAUAAUAAAUACUAAAGACAAUUAAAACAAACAAAUAUUAAUCAAAAUUUACAAGUAUUAAUGCUAUACUAAGUAUGAGGCAUAUUCAAAAGAUCCAACAAACACAUGCAGUGGCAGUGCAAUAAAUAGAUGAAUGCUUACUUACAGGCCUCUAAAGAUGCAUUACAUGGCCAACUUGCCAAGCCAUUCACUGCCAUAAACUUUGUCUCAACUGAUAACGGGGCAGGCAACAAAUGAUACUCAGUUUUACAGCACAUGAACACACAGUCCACUACAUAUGUUACAUAACACAGCCUUUUAGAUUGGAUUUAUUAAACUCUCAUCAUAUGGUUAUGGAUGGGUAAGUUUAAAUUUAUGAGUCUAUGAAAAGACAUCAUGUCACAAAUGAAGCCCACAUAUCUGUUUUUGGCAUAUGGACCUAUAAGUAGUUAA